GGCGGCCCGAAACGACUACACACACGUAUCGACACGCCUGCUGGGGUGCCUGGGAAACCGGGUCGGCAGCCGGGAUGCGUGGAGGACCAAC
rnacentral:sRNA from 1 species